GCAGUAGCCGCGGUAAUACGAAGGGUGCAAGCGUUAAUCGGAAUUACUGGGCGUAAAGCGUGCGUAGGCGGCGUGGUAAGUCAGAUGUGAAAUCCCGGGGCUCAACCCCGGAACUGCAUCCGAUACUGCCAUGCUAGAGGAUUGGAGAGGUAGCUGGAAUUCUUGGUGUAGCGGUGAAAUGCGUGGAGAUCAAGAGGAACACUCGGGGCGAAAGCGAGCCACUGGACAAUAACUGACGCUGAGGCUCGAAGGCCAGGGUAGCGAAAGGGAUUAGAUACCCGUGUAGUCCCUGUCUCUUAUAC
rnacentral:rRNA from 1 species